AUUUUUUGUAUCAUUUUUUUUAGAACAAGGUGUGACCUUCUAUUUUUUUCUAUUCUAAUGCUUUUGACUUUG
rnacentral:tRNA from 1 species